UGGGGAUCGAACUGCAACCCAGGCAUGUGCCCUGACCGGGAAUCAAACCUCUGACCCUUAGGUCCAUGGGCUGACAUUCUAAUUACAUACAAAACCGGCCAGGGCU